AACGCACGAGACCUGCGGACCUGCGGAAGGAUCAUUACCGAGUUUACAACUCCCAAACCCAAUGUGAACGUUACCAAACUGUUGCCUCGGCGGGAUCUUCUGCCCCGGGUGCGUCGCAGCCCCGGACCAAGGCGCCCGCCGGAGGACCAACCAAAAACUCUUUUUGUAUACCCCCUCGCGGGUUUUUUAUAUCUGAGCCUUUCUCGGCGCCCCUUCGUGGGCGUUUCGAAAAUGAAUCAA
rnacentral:misc_RNA from 1 species